AUUGAACGCUGGCGGAAUGCUUUACACAUGCAAGUCGCGCGCCUCGCAAGGGGAGCGGCGGACGGGUGAGUAACGCGUAGGAAUGUGUCCAGAGGUGGGGGACAACCCCGGGAAACUGGGGCUAAUACCGCAUAUGUCCUGAGGGACAAAGCAGUAAUGCGCCUUUGGAGCAGCCUGCGUCCGAUUAGGUAGUUGGUGGGGUAAUGGCCUACCAAGCCUGCGAUCGGUAGCUGGUCUGAGAGGAUGAUCAGCCACACUGGGACUGAGACACGGCCCAGACUCCUACGGGAGGCAGCAGUGGGGAAUAUUGGACAAUGGGCGCAAGCCUGAUCCAGCAAUGCCGCGUGGGUGAAGAAGGUCUUCGGAUCGUAAAGCCCUUUCGACAGGGACGAUGAUGACGGUACCUGUAGAAGAAGCCCCGGCUAACUUCGUGCCAGCAGCCGCCGUAAUAC
rnacentral:rRNA from 1 species